rnacentral:rRNA from 1 species
GCAAAGCAGCAUCGCGGUGGCGGAGCGUCGUUUGCGACGCCCAACACACAAAACAAGCGGUGAGUGCUUUGGGGUGGGGUGACUGCGUACCUUUUGUAUAAUGGGUCAGCGACUUAUAUUCUGUAGCAAGGUUAACCGUAUAGGGGAGCCGGAGGGAAACCGAGUCUUAAUUGGGCGUUAAGUUGCAGGGUAUAGACCCGAAACCCGGUGAUCUAGCCAUGGGCAGGUUGAAGGUUGGGUAACACUAACUGGAGGACCGAACCGACUAAUGUUGAAAAAUUAGCGGAUGACCUGUGGCUGGGGGUGAAAGGCCAAUCAAACCGGGAGAUAGCUGGUUCUCCCCGAAAGCUAUUUAGGUAGCGCCUCGUGAAUUCAUCUCCGGGGGUAGAGCACUGUUUCGGCUAGGGGGCCAUCCCGGCUUACCAACCCGAUGCAAACUGCGAAUACCGGAGAAUGUUAUCACGGGAGACACACGGCGGGUGCUAACGUCCGUCGUGAAGAGGGAAACAACCCAGACCGCCAGCUAAGGUCCCAAAGUCAUGGUUAAGUGGGAAACGAUGUGGGAAGGCCCAGACAGCCAGGAUGUUGGCUUAGAAGCAGCCAUCAUUUAAAGAAAGCGUAAUAGCUCACUGGUCGAGUCGGCCUGCGCGGAAGAUGUAACGGGGCUAAACCAU